rnacentral:rRNA from 1 species
CUUGAACGCUGGCGGCAGGCCUAACACAUGCAAGUCGAGCGGAUGAAGGGAGCUUGCUCCUGGAUUCAGCGGCGGACGGGUGAGUAAUGCCUAGGAAUCUGCCUGGUAGUGGGGGAUAACGUCCGGAAACGGGCGCUAAUACCGCAUACGACCUGAGGGAGAAAGUGGGGGAUCUUCGGACCUCACGCUAUCAGAUGAGCCUAGGUCGGAUUAGCUAGUUGGUGGGGUAAAGGCCUACCAAGGCGACGAUCCGUAACUGGUCUGAGAGGAUGAUCAGUCACACUGUAACUGAGACACGGUCCAGACUCCUACGGGAGGAAGCAGUGGGGAAUAUUGGACAAUGGGCGAAAGCCUGAUCCAGCCAUGCCGGGUGUGUGAAGAAGGUCUUCGGAUUGUAAAGCACUUUAAGUUGGGGGGAAGGGCAGUAAGUUAAUACCUUGCUGUUUUGACGUUACCAACAGAAUAAGCACCGGCUAACUUCGUG